rnacentral:rRNA from 1 species
GAUGAACGCUGGCGGCGUGCCUAAUACAUGCAAGUCGAGCGAACAGACGAGGAGCUUUCUCCUCUGACGUUAGCGGCGGACGGGUGAUUAACACGUGGAUAACCUACCUAUAAGACUGGGAUAACUUCGGGAAACCGGAGCUAAUACCGGAUAAUAUAUUGAACCGCAUGGUUCAAUAGUGAAAGACGGUUUUGCUGUCACUUAUAGAUGGAUCCGCGCCGCAUUAGCUAGUUGGUAAGGUAACGGCUUACCAAGGCAACGAUGCGUAGCCGACCUGAGAGGGUGAUCGGCGACACUGGAACUGAGACACGGUGCAGACUCCUACGGGAGGCAGCAGUAGGGAAUCUUCCGCAAUGGGCGAAAGCUUGACGGAGCAACGCCGCGUGAGGGAUGAAGGACUUCGGAUCGUAAAACUCUGUUAUUAGGGAAGAACAAAUGUGUAAGUAACUAUGCACGUCUUGACGGUACCUAAUCAGAAAGCCACGGCUAACUACGUG